rnacentral:rRNA from 1 species
GACGAACGCUGGCGGCGUGCUUAACACAUGCAAGUCGAACGGAAAGGCCCUGCUUUUGUGGGGUGCUCGAGUGGCGAACGGGUGAGUAACACGUGAGUAACCUGCCCUUGACUUUGGGAUAACUUCAGGAAACUGGGGCUAUACCGGAUAGGAGCUCCUGCUGCAUGGUGGGGGUUGGAAAGUUUCGGCGGUUGGGGAUGGGCUCGCGGCUUAUCAGCUUGUUGGUGGGGUAGUGGCUUACCAAGGCUUUGACGGGUAGCCGGCCUGAGAGGGUGACCGGCCACAUUGGGACUGAGAUACGGCCCAGACUCCUACGGGAGGCAGCAGUGGGGAAUAUUGCACAAUGGGCGGAAGCCUGAUGCAGCAACGCCGCGUGCGGGAUGACGGCCUUCGGGUUGUAAACCGCUUUCGCCUGUGACGAAGCGUGAGUGACGGUAAUGGGUAAAGAAGCACCGGCUAACUACGUG